GCAAAUAUGUCAUGUCCUUGGUACUUUUAACUUGAGUGACGAUGUAUUGUUUUUGUCUGUGCACUUCACUUAACGCAAGUUUUUUAAUUUUCUUUUUUGCUUGCCCUUUUCGUAUGAUUGUCUUUAUUUCAAUGGAUGAUAUUUUUUGUCUAACUAAUCUAUUUCAUUCUUUUGGAUACUUCUAUUUGAUGCAUUAUUGGUGUUUAUCGCCUUCUCCAUGUAUGAUGUUAAUUUUAGUGUUGUUAAUAUAUGAGAUGAUGAAUUAUUGUUACAUACUGAGAUAGGUGUUGGAGUUCUAUUCAUGCCUAUCAUUCAGGGCAGCGCAAAUUCGCCAAGGACUUCC
rnacentral:lncRNA from 1 species